GGAAUAUUGGACAAUGGGCGAAAGCCUGAUCCAGCAAUGCCGCGUGAGUGAUGAAGGCCUUAGGGUUGUAAAGCUCUUUUACCCGGGAUGAUAAUGACAGUACCGGGAGAAUAAGCUCCGGCUAACUUCGUGCCAGCAGCCGCGGUAAUACGAGGGGAGCUAGCGUUAUUCGGAAUUACUGGGCGUAAAGCGCACGUAGGCGGCUUUGUAAGUUAGAGGUGAAAGCCCAGAGCUUAACUUUGGAACUGCAAUUAAAACUGCUCAACUAGAGUUUGAUAGAGGAAAGCGGAAUACAUAGUGUAGAGGUGAAAUUCGUAGAUAUUAUGUAGAACACCAGUUGCGAAGGCGGCUUUCUGGAUCAACACUGACGCUGAGGCGCGAAAGUAUGGGUAGCAAAGAGGAUUAGAUACCCUCGUAGUCCAUACCAUAAACGAUGAUUGCUAGAUGUUGGAAAUUUAUUUUCAGUAUCGCAGCUAACGCAUUAAGCAAUCCGCCUGGGGAGUACGACCGCAAGGUUAAAACUCAAAUGAAUUGACGG
rnacentral:rRNA from 1 species